ACGAACGCUGGCGGCAGGCUUAACACAUGCCAGUCGAACGCACCUUUCGGGGUGAGUGGCAGACGGGUGAGUAACGCGUGGGAACGUACCCUUUUCUACGGAAUAACUCAGGGAAACUUGAGCUAAUACCGUAUACGCCCUUUUGGGGAAAGAUUUAUCGGAGAAGGAUCGGCCCGCGUUGGAUUAGCUAGUUGGUGGGGUAAAGGCCUACCAAGGCGACGAUCCAUAGCUGGUCUGAGAGGAUGAUCAGCCACAUUGGGACUGAGACACGGCCCAAACUCCUACGGGAGGCAGCAGUGGGGAAUAUUGGACAAUGGGCGCAAGCCUGAUCCAGCCAUGCCGCGUGAGUGAUGAAGGCCCUAGGGUUGUAAAGCUCUUUCACCGGUGAAGAUAAUGACGGUAACCGGAGAAGAAGCCCCGGCUAACUUCGUG
rnacentral:rRNA from 1 species